UGCACACACAGGGAGGCCUCUGUC
rnacentral:piRNA from 1 species